GACGAACGCUGGCGGCGUGCUUAACACAUGCAAGUCGAACGGAAAGGCCCUGCUUUUGUGGGGUGCUCGAGUGGCGAACGGGUGAGUAACACGUGAGUAACCUGCCCUUGACUUUGGGAUAACUUCAGGAAACUGGGGCUAAUACCGGAUAGGAGCCCCUGCUGCAUGGUGGGGGUUGGAAAGUUUCGGCGGUUGGGGAUGGACUCGCGGCUUAUCAGCUUGUUGGUGGGGUAGUGGCUUACCAAGGCUUUGACGGGUAGCCGGCCUGAGAGGGUGACCGGCCACCUUGGGCCUGCGAUACGGCCCAGACUCCUACGGGAGGCAGCAGUGGGGAAUAUUGCACAAUGGGCGGAAGCCUGAUGCAGCAACGCCGCGUGCGGGAUGACGGCCUUCGGGUUGUAAACCGCUUUCGCCUGUGACGAAGCGUGAGUGACGGUAAUGGGUAAAGAAGCACCGGCUAACUACGUG
rnacentral:rRNA from 1 species